GCCUACAGCCACACCAGACUGAAUGCACCCGAUCCCGUCCAAUCUUGGAAGCUAAGCAGUCCCAGGCCCAGCUAGAACCUGGAUGGGAGACCACCUGGGAAUCCCGGGUGCCGUAUGCU
rnacentral:rRNA from 1 species